UUUCUAACUCCUUCCCUCUCUCUAUCUUUCCGCCAUCUACCGCCGCCUCAAAGCCCUACGCUUCACUGACCUCCUCGUCGUUGCCGCCUCCCUCAACCCCGCCACCUCCAACAAACUCCGGAUCGGAUCCAUCACCGGAUCUCCCUCAGGAUGGAGGAGGAGCGUUGCGGAUGCAGCUUGAUUAGAACGCAGCUGCAGAGAAGUGGAAAUCUCCUCCUCUACCAGAGGACCGCUUCGCCCUCAUGUGCGGGUCCUCACGCCGGAGAGCUCGUCAGCAGGGAGAGCGGCGCGUUCCUCCACAGGUUCAUGUGGCUCGAU